rnacentral:rRNA from 1 species
UCGAUUCCCUUAGUAGCGGCGAGCGAAACGGGAAGAGCCCAAACCAACAAGCUUGCUUGUUGGGGUUGUAGGACACUCUAUACGGAGUUACAAAGGACGACAUUAGACGAAUCAUCUGGAAAGAUGAAUCAAAGAAGGUAAUAAUCCUGUAGUCGAAAAUGUUGUCUCUCUUGAGUGGAUCCUGAGUACGACGGAGCACGUGAAAUUCCGUCGGAAUCUGGGAGGACCAUCUCCUAAGGCUAAAUACUCUCUAGUGACCGAUAGUGAACCAGUACCGUGAGGGAAAGGUGAAAAGCACCCCGGAAGGGGAGUGAAAUAGAACCUGAAACCGUGUGCUUACAAGUAGUCAGAGCCCGUUAAUGGGUGAUGGCGUGCCUUUUGUAGAAUGAACCGGCGAGUUACGAUUUGAUGCAAGGUUAAGCAGUAAAUGUGGAGCCGUAGCGAAAGCGAGUCUGAAUAGGGCGUUUAGUAUUUGGUCGUAGACCCGAAACCAGGUGAUCUACCCUUGGUCAGGUUGAAGUUCAGGUAACACUGAAUGGAGGACCGAACCGACUUACGUUGAAAAGUGAGCGGAUGAACUGAGGGUAGCGGAGAAAUUCCAAUCGAACCUGGAGAUAGCUGGUUCUCUCCGAAAUAGCUUUAGGGCUAGCCUCAAGUGAUGAUUAUUGGAGGUAGA